UUUGGGUCCCCUUCCACACUGGAAGCUUUGUUCUUUUGCUCUUCACAAUAAAUCUUGCUGCUGCUCAUAGAAAGAUGCAAGCUAGUGCUAGCGAGACAGCCUGCAAAACCCCUGUGUUGUUUUGGGCUGUUAACCAUAGUCUGAGUGGCUUAGACAACAAACAUUUAUUUCUCACAGUUCUAGAGGCUAGAAGUCCAAGAGCAGAUGCCAGCAGACCUGUCUGGGGAAGGCCUGCUUCUUGGCCUGGAGACAGCCGCUUGCUCACUAUGUCUUCACAGGGCAGAGUGAACCCUGGUCUGUUUCUCUUACAAGGACACUCAUCCCACUGUGGGCCUCCACCUUUGUGAUUUCAUCUAUACCUAAAAGGCCCCACUUCCUAGUAUUCCGCCGGGGGUUCAGGCUUCAAAGAUGAAUACUGGGGGCGACACAAACGGAGCCCAUAACCUCAUGCCGCCUGACUCCUGAGGCUGUAUUCGUGAUGAACGUGUGGCUGCCCAAGUUUUGUUUUGCUCAGGCAGGAUCAGCACACACCCAGCCACAGACAGGGAAGCCCAGAGCAGGGCAGAAUAUGGUCCCUCAAGUGAAUAAUUGGCCCAGGGAUACAGAAUUAGGUGAUUCUAGCAAAUCCAGACAUUUUCUAGGGUGCCAGUGAAUUUUGGGUCUGUCCCUGUUAGCUGUUCUUGAGAUUUUGCACUCAACUUGCGAUGGUUAAUACGGAGUGUCAACUUGAUUGGAUUGAAGGAUGCAAAGUAUUGUUUCUGGGUGUGUCUGUGAGGGUGUUGCCAAAGGAGAUUAACAUUUGUGUCAGUGGGCUGGGAAAGGCAGACCCACCCUCAAUCUGGGUGGGCACCAUCUAAUCAGCUGCCAGCGUGGCCGGAAUAAAAGCAGGCAGGAGAAUGUGGAAAGACUAGACUAGUCUUGUGGCCUCCAUCUUUCUCCUGUGCUGGAUGCUUCCUGCCCUUGAACAUCGGACUCCAAGUUCUUCCGUUUUGGGACUUGGAUUAGCUUCCUUGCUCCUCAGCCUGCAGACGGCCUACUGUGGGACCCCUUCUUACUGAAAGCCUCCCUGUAAGGUGCUGAUUGCCUUCCAGAUCUGAGGACCCCGUCUCUGCCUCAUUCCUCCUGUUUCCAUCAGAAGACACAGGUCUGGGACUCAGCGCAGCUGACCUGUCUGUCCCUCUCUGCACAGUUUACUCCUGGGCUCUGCAGAGAGAAGUCAGUGCCUCAAUUUUCCAUUGAAAUAUGCACCCUUGGCAUCCUGGCAGGAGUGGCAGCCACAGCAAAACAUCUUCUGCAGCGUCUGGCCAGGGCGUUACUCCAGCCCAGUUUUGCCCUGGACUAGAUUGAGUCAGGUCGUGCAUGGAACGCAAGCACAAACCACGGUCAGCUCCUCGAGACUGACCCACUGGCCCACUGAGCAGAGGAGCCCCUGGGUCUCUGGACGCUGCCCAGUUGUUGACAUCCUGAGGCAGGUUUGCGGCUGAUGGAGCAACAGGGACGGGCUGGGCCCGGCACCUUUUUCACGGAAAUGAUGAGCUCUGGACAGCAGUGAUGCCAGGGCCCAUAAAGCCUCAGGCGCCCGUCAUUGCUGCUGCCUGCGUGUGCUCGCUCACCGCGACGGCGGCGGGCUGGAGGAAGCUGUGCAAGAGCCAAGUGUCUACCAUGAGUCUGCAUGUUCAUAUGGUUCAGAUUUGCCUUGGAAUCCCCGCGAGCCAAACUCUUUCAUUUCACUUAGUAAAAGGGAUGCAUUGACUCAGAUGUUCUGUCCUAUUUAAAUGAGAGGGGCGCGGGAGGUGAUGGAACACAAAACCAUGAGCCAUGGCUUUGCUGGGGAAUGCUGUGGAUCUGGUGUGUGAUAGAGAGAGAGUGUGUGUGCGUGUGUGUGUGUGUAUGGCAAAGUGCACAAAUCGCACGUGUACACCUCAGUGGCUUUUUACACAUUUAGACGUGUGUAAGUGUAUAGAGCAUUUCCACACCCCAGAGGCCCCGAGCUCACUCCCUCCCGCUCUCCCCAUCCCUGACGCUAACCUGAU
rnacentral:lncRNA from 1 species